rnacentral:rRNA from 1 species
CAGCCGCCGCGGGAAUACGGAGGGUGCAAGCGUUAUCCGGAUUUAUUGGGUUUAAAGGGUCCGUAGGCGGACUUAUAAGUCAGUGGUGAAAGCCUGUCGCUUAACGAUAGAACUGCCAUUGAUACUGUAAGUCUUGAGUAUAUUUGAGGUAGCUGGAAUAAGUAGUGUAGCGGUGAAAUGCAUAGAUAUUACUUAGAACACCAAUUGCGAAGGCAGGUUACCAAGAUAUAACUGACGCUGAGGGACGAAAGCGUGGGUAGCGAACAGGAUUAGAUACCCCAGUAGUCCCUGUCUCUUAUAC